rnacentral:rRNA from 1 species
UAACGGCUCACCAAGGCGACGAUCAGUAGCCGGCCUGAGAGGGCACACGGCCACACUGGCACUGAAACACGGGCCAGACUCCUACGGGAGGCAGCAGUGGGGAAUCUUGCACAAUGGAGGAAACUCUGAUGCAGCGACGCCGCGUGAGCGAUGAAGCCCUUCGGGGUGUAAAGCUCUUUCGGCAGGAACGAUAAUGACGGUACCUGCAGAAGAAGCUGCGGCUAACUACGUGCCAGCAGCCGCGGUAAUACGUAGGCAACAAGCGUUGUUCGGAAUUACUGGGCGUAAAGAGUGUGUAGGCGGUUCUCUAAGUUCCGUGUGAAAUCUCCCGGCUCAACUGGGAGGGUGCGCGGGAAACUGGAGGGCUCGAGUAUGGGAGAGGAAAGCGGAAUUCCUGGUGUAGCGGUGAAAUG